ACAACCAUCAUAUUUCGGAAGCCCGCUUAUCAUAUACGCAUCUCAGAUUGCUCCGAUGAAAACCCUAAACCCUGCUUAAGUCUUUCGCUGAUCUGUCUUGUUGGCUUUUUGAAGUUACAUACAUUGGGUAUUCUUCCCUAAAUCAAUUUUCCCGGCGAUCAAGGAGAUGGGGGUCAAUUCGGUGAGAGUAUCACAAGGGUUGCUGAGGAGUUGGUUUUCAACAGCCUCGAUGCUGGUUCCACCAAGAGGUGUGCUGCUGAGAAUAUGGCAAGUCGUGCUUGUAUGCAGAUUUAAUCGCCUAGACUAGUCGCACAAAAGGCAGUGACCGGUAUAUGUUGCUAUAGACAGUGGGACCUGCUAUGUUAAGGUGGAUGACAGUGCGACAUCAAAUAUGGCCAUUCAGAUGAUAUGCAUGCUUUCCCCGCAAGCUUUGGCUUCAAAGGGGAGAGGCUCUGAGCUAUAUUUCUGACAUUUCUUUGUUGGAAAUUGUUACUAAAACUCACUGGAGGCCAAAUGAAUAUCGUAAGGUUUUGAAGGAUGGCAAGUGUUCGUACCUUGGAAUUGAUGAUUGUAGACAAGAUGUUGGUACAACAGGUCAUUCUGUAUAAGCCAGCCUACCCGACACAUGAGUUGACUCUUGUUUGCUAAUAAGAAAAUUUGUUGGCAUUUUUCUUUUUGCAUUCAUUGUUCGUGAUGUAUUUUACAACCAAUCAGUUAGAAGGAAGCAAAUGCAUUCCUAGUACUUCUUGUUUUCUCACAAUUCAAACAAAUGAAAAAUAUUGAUUUACAUACUUUAUUUCUAAAUCUGAACUCUGUGGUCUCGCAUUCUCUGAAAGAGUCUCUGCUAAGAAUUCCCCCCAGUGUCUCCUUCAAAAUUGUUAAUAUUGAAAGGCCCGUCUCUGUUAUUCCAGCUAACUCAGGAUAUUUCCUUUCUGGCUUCUUAGAUUUUGUUCAU